rnacentral:rRNA from 1 species
GCCGGCAGCCAAAUCGCCCUGCAUCUCACAGCGGACAACCCACUGAAGCUAAGCAGGUGUGAGCCUGGCCAGUACCUGGAUGGGAGACCUCCUGGGAAAAAUUAGGCUUGCUGCUGGAA